CGUAACAAGGUUUCCGUAGGUGAACCUGCGGAAGGAUCAUUACCUAGAGUUGUAGGCUUUGCCUGCUAUCUCUUACCCAUGUCUUUUGAGUACCUUCGUUUCCUCGGCGGGUCCGCCCGCCGAUUGGACAAUUUAAACCAUUUGCAGUUGUAAUCAGCGCCUGAAAAAACUUAAUAGUUACAACUUUCAACAACGGAUCUCUUGGUUCUGGCAUCGAUGAAGAACGCAGCGAAAUGCGAUAAGUAGUGUGAAUUGCAGAAUUCAGUGAAUCAUCGAAUCUUUGAACGCACAUUGCGCCCCUUGGUAUUCCAUGGGGCAUGCCUGUUCGAGCGUCAUUUGUACCUUCAAGCUCUGCUUGGCGUUGGGUGUUUGUCUCGCCUCUGCGCGUAGACUCGCCUCAAAACAAUUGGCAGCCGGCGUAUUGAUUUCGGAGCGCAGUACAUCUCGCGCUUUGCACUCAUAACGACGACGUCCAAAAGUACAUUUUUACACUCUUGACCUCGGAUCAGGUAGGGAUACCCGCUGAACUUAAGC
rnacentral:rRNA from 1 species